rnacentral:misc_RNA from 1 species
AAGGACGAAUGUCUUGAGCUUGGUGUUAAUACCGUGUGUGGCCCUGCCACCAAGGCUCCUCACACUCUCCUGGAGGUAACUUCUCACCUUAUAAACCUCCACACACACCCACUGUAGCUGCGUAAUUGGGAAUAAAUAACAUUCCGUCGCCGCUAGCAGCAGCAGCAGCAGCAGCCACCAACAUUAUUGGAACGCCACUGACAGGUGAAUCAGCUGUCUGGGUGUCAGUGUGUGUGUGGAGGACUCCUGCAGCAGGUGAGGAUGUACAAGCAGAUGUCUGUGCCAGUUACCAUAUGAUUAAAUGUACAGCACUGGGAAAAAUUUACCUAGAAGAUGGACAAUACACCAAUAACCUUCCCAACUGUGUAUCCACCUACUCCACCAUUAGAUCUUGACGAUUACUCCAUCCUUCAGGACAAACCUGAUAAACAAAGCUGUAAUCAGUAUGUCAUCCACAACAAAACUCAUUUGAUAUACGGAGGAUAUGAAGGAAUUCCUGAAAAUUUAUUAAUCAAUUUCUUGGGCUGGAUACUGCUCCUGAGCUUGUUCACUGUACUACGUAAAAAAGCCUGGAAUUAUGGGCGUUUGGCUCUUGUUCAGAAGUACGAGAGCAGGACAAAGCAUCUUGGCUUCAGUCAAUACAAUGUAUGGACACAGCUGUUCUAUGGGAAAGAGACGGACACAGGAAAAAUUGCUGGUGAAGCAGACUCUGUCUCUUCCUUGGAAUUUAACAUGCACAUAGACAAGGGUCUGCUCUCUUGGAUUCCAGCAUUAUUUAAAAUAAAAGAUGAACAAAUUCUAGCGAAGAGUGAGAGAGAUGCUGUCAGUUAUCUCUCCUUUCAAAGACACAUUAUUGUAUACAUGAUGAUAGUGUGUGUUAUCAGCAUUGUCAUUGUCUUGCCCAUCAACUUCCAAGGAACAUUAGAGGGUGGCAAGAAAGAAUUUGGUCACACCACUUUGGCAAACCUCAACCCUCAAUCUCGACUCAUGUGGGUACAUGUUACCCUGGCAUUCCUCUUCUUACCUCUUGGAAUCUUUUUCACGCGACGAUUCUCCAAGAAGCUUGAGCUCCGUGAAGUCACGACCAGCGUUUCUCGCACUCUUAUGAUAACACGUGUACCACGAAGAGCAUGUCACAAAGACACAAUUUUAAAGCACUUUCAAGAGGCUUAUCCUGAAGUUGAGGUUCAAGAUGUCCAAUUUGCUUACAACAUCAGAUCUCUCAUUGCUUAUGAUAAAGAAAGGGAGGUAGCCCUUAAUGCAAGGAUGUACUGUGAGGCUUACCUAAAGGAGACAAACCGGCGGCUUGAUAUGCGGCCGUAUAGAGGAGGAGUCAUCUGUGGCUGCUGUGACAUAUUUGGUUGUCCAACAGUGGAUGCUAUUGAGUACUAUGCUGAAGAAGAAGCACGUCUGGCUAACCAUGUUGAAAAUGAGAAAAUUAAGGCGUUGCAGAGACCUACAGGUGUCGCAUUUAUAACUUUUGACAAUAUUGAAAAUGCCAAGAAGGUUAUGCGUGAUCAUAAAACUAAGUGUGAUUGUUUAAGAGUUAUGCCGGCUUCUUCAGUUUCGGUUGAACUAAAACCACACAAUUGGAUCAUUAGAGUUGCACCAGCCCCUGAAGAUAUCUACUGGGCAAACCUCUCGGUUACAAAUCGUCAUUGGUGGUUGAAAGCAAUUUUAAUUAAUAUUAUGCUGUUUGUGGUGCUGUUUUUCCUUACAACACCUGCUGUUAUCAUCAAUGGUCUCAACAAUAUUUUUCUUGCUGAUAAACUGCACAGUAUGAGCCCAGUUUUAUCCGAGUUCUUGCCUACCCUGCUGUUGUGGACCAUGGCUGCACUUAUGCCGGUUAUUGUGUCUUAUUCGGACCAGUUCAUGUCUCACUGGACACGCUCUACAGAGAACCACUCCAUCAUGAGGAAGACUUUCAUUUUCCUUCUUUUCAUGGUCAUUAUUUUGCCAUCCCUUGGCUUGACCAGUGCGAAAGGUUUCAUGGAGUGGCUAGUAAAGCAAAAUUCACAAAAUGAGACUUUCCGUUGGGAAUGCAUCUUUCUUCCUGAUAAUGGUGCGUUCUUUGUCAACUAUGUCAUCACUUCUGCGUUCAUUGGAACAUCACUAGAGCUAAUUCGAUUCCCAGAGCUGUUCAUGUACAUAGUGCGGCUUGCUCUGUCAAGAUCUGAAGCCGAGACUGCCAGUGUGAGACGUGCUAUCCUCUAUGAGUUUCCAUUUGGCGUUCAGUAUGCCUGGAUGUUACUAAUUUUCGCAAUGACUAUCAUCUACUCCAUAUCUUGUCCACUCAUAACUCCAUUUGGUACAUUAUAUAUGAUCUUCAAACAUCUGGUGGACAAGUAUAAUAUCUACUUUGCAUAUGGUCCAUCAAGAAUUAGCCGAAACAUCCACACAUCGGCCAUCAAUUUUGUGAUAGUGUCCAUUGUUUGCCUGCAGCUAAGCCUCCUGUUCUUCUCUGUUGUGCGACAAGGAUUGAAAAAGGAUAUCACUAUAUACAGCAUUGUCUUACUUAUUAUAACAUGUCUGGUGUUUAUCACUCACAAUGCCUUCCACUGGUUCAAAGAUCUUAGCCCUGUGGAGUAUAAGAAGUUUGGCGAUGGUCAAGUGAAUGGUGACUUGGCAUCAGUAAGCGAUGAUGGACAUGAUGAGGAAAUUACUACAACAGAAGUGGCAUGUCAGUUUGUGCCUUCUGUCCUACGAGAUGCCCCCACCGGAGUUGAAUCCAGCUACUCUUUCAUAGCCCAGCCACGUAAUUAUGGAACACGACCACGAGAGGAGGAUGGAUACACAGUAGAUAGUGGCACUAUUAUGAAUGGUGAUGUAAGCCCAAAAACCAGAGAAAAAGAAGAGGCAGAACUUUACCAGGAUUAUUCUCAGCCAAAGCACCUUGAUGGCCUAGUUUAAAAAAAGCCUUCCUCAAAAAAAAAAUGUUCAGAAGUUACUCCAACUGGGAAUCUCGAUGUUCUGGUAACAACUGUCAGCGCUGAGAUCAAUGUUCCUUCAGUAUCUCAACCACAAGUGGAAGAGGAGGAGGAGGAGACAGUAUAUACCCGAGCAUCACCCAAACAGCCUUCCCCAACUGUGAUUACAGUUGAUGGUAA